rnacentral:rRNA from 1 species
UGAGGGAUAUUGGUAAAUGGGCGCAAGCCUGAUCCAGCGACGCCGCGUGGGUGAAGAAGGUCUUCGGAUCGUAAAGCCCUUUUCCCACUGAAGAGGAAGGACGGUAGGUGGGGAAGAAGUCUCGGCUAACUACGUGCCAGCAGCCGCGGUAAAACGUAGGAGACAAGCGUUAUCCGGAGUUACUGGGCGUAAAGGGCGUGCAGGUGGCGUCUUAAGUCUGUUGUGAAAGCGCCUGGCUGAACCGGGCGAGGCCAAUGGAGACUGAGAGGCUGGAGGACGGCGGAGGGGUGUGGAAUUCCGGGUGUAGUGGUGAAAUGCGUAGAGAUCCGGAGGAACACCAGAGGCGAAGGCGGCACUCUAAGCCGUACCUGACACUGAGACGCGACAGCACGGGGAGCAAACG